CAGGUGGGGCCCAGUUCCUCACUCUCCUCCUCACCUUCACUCCAGUAACAUCGUCUGGCUCAAGGUCUUUAUAUAUUACGAUUCAGUUUCUAAGGUCUUCAAUAAAGAGCUUUGUGUUUCACGUAGCUGGAAUGACUAGCCAAUUUCUGCAGGAUCCUGAUCUUCAUAACUUGGAUGUGUCGGUUGCUCUUGGCAAGUUUUCAGAGAUGCGGGUGGCCCACUACCUGAAUUAAACGCUGUAGUAGCGAUGCCUUCAUCCUGAAAGGUUCUGGCAGGGGCCCGACUCUUAAGCUCUGAGCAGCGCCGCUGAAACAUUGUUCCUGAAAUUCUUACCCCAAGGCUUUCGUGGUGAAUUUGCAUUCGUUGGCCAGGGUGAUCUUGGUGGUCCAGGUCCUGACAAGGUAUUCAGUGGUCCAGAUACUAUAAUGGACUGUGGCAGAUUGGGCCAUGGGACCAUCCCGUGGAUUGCAGUGGGUAGCUGCUGGAAGUUUUGUCUGACCUAUUGGCCUCUUAUGUCUGGAGGUGGACGAUAUCUUCAACCUCCCCCUAAUGUCACCCCAAACUAUCAGUUGAAUCACUGUCACCGCCCAAACCUUCAACAGCGUAGCAGUCGUUCUAAUUUCCUUCGGAGAGCAGACUGUCGCCGUUGGAACUCUUUCGGUGCUACAGGCUCCCAUUGAUGACCGGAUCGUUCUAUGGAAGUUUUUGUCCGGCCCGCAUCCGUGACGUUAACUGAAGUGAAGUCUGACUUCAGGAUCAUGACGAACGUCACUAGGCUGUGACCCUUGGCCACACUUCAUUAGCCAGUACACGUACACCACCAUAGCCACUUCAGGUGUAAGCACUUGUGCUUGAGUGAUGUAAUUUACUGUUGCUUCUGUGUUAAUGAUUUUUAUUUAAGUGUACAGCGACGGUGGUACUCACAAAUAUUAACACCCAUAGAACUACCUUCACAAACUACGGCAGUGAUAUGUUAACAGCAGUUACCGGCCUAAAUAAGUACUGACAGGCAUUAGUCUUGUAAUUUUAAUUUGAGCAUUUUUGAUAAUUCCUAAAUGUGUAGCUGGGAAAAAUAAAUUGCAUCAAAUAAA